CAUGGAGUAGUUGGGCUUCGUUAAAAAAAUAUAUAUAGAGUGAUUUAACAUCAAUGAUGUACCAUGGAGUAACAAUUCCCGAAGUUGAUAACUCCUACAGCAAACUCAAAAACGUCAUGUUUACAAAGAGAAACCAAUAUUUUUACCAAAUUUUCAAAAUCACCAAAUUAUCUUCUUGUCACUCCAUUAUACUUCCUCCCUUGACGCUAUGACUCGAGAUGCAACUCAAGAAGUGGUGACCUAUCUGAUAACCAAUAAAUGGGUAGCCUUACUGGUAGG
rnacentral:lncRNA from 1 species